CCAGACUCCUACGGGAGGCAGCAGUGGGGAAUAUUGCACAAUGGGGGAAACCCUGAUGCAGCGACGCCGCGUGAGCGAUGAAGUAUUUCGGUAUGUAAAGCUCUAUCAGCAGGGAAGAAAAUGACGGUACCUGACUAAGAAGCCCCGGCUAACUACGUGCCAGCAGCCGCGGUAAUACGUAGGGGGCAAGCGUUAUCCGGAUUUACUGGGUGUAAAGGGGGCGCAGACGGCCAAGCAAGCCAGGGGUGAAAGCCCGGGGCCCAACCCCGGGACUGCCCUUGGAACUGCUUGGCUGGAGUGCGGGAGGGGCAGGCGGAAUUCCUGGUGUAGCGGUGAAAUGCGUAGAUAUCAGGAGGAACACCGGCGGCGAAGGCGGCCUGCUGGACCGCUACUGACGUUGAGGCUCGAAAGCGUGGGGAGCGAACAGGAUUAGAUACCCCCGUAAU
rnacentral:rRNA from 1 species